rnacentral:rRNA from 1 species
UACGGGGGGAGCAAGCGUUGUUCGGAUUUACUGGGCGUAAAGGGCGCGUAGGCGGCCACCGCAAGUCGGUUGUGAAAUCUCCGGGCUUAACCCGGAAAGGUCAAUCGAUACUGCGGGGCUAGAGUGCAGAAGGGGCAACUGGAAUUCUCGGUGUAGCGGUGAAAUGCGUAGAUAUCGUAAGGAAGACCAGUGGCGAAGGCGGGUCUCUGGACAGUUCCUGACGCUGAGGCACGAAGGUCAGGGGAGCAAACGGG